rnacentral:tRNA from 1 species
GGAGAGAUGGCUCAGUGGUUAAGAGCACUGACUGUUCUUCCAGAGGCCCUGGGUUCAAUUCCCAGCACCC